UGGAUUUUCAUAUGAAGUUGGGGCUUCUUCGUUGUUACCUUCUUUCUCCUUGGGCGAUUGCGACCAUGACAUCAAAAUUCUAAUAUGAAGAUUGAGGGAUUUGUCCAGUAGUGUCACAUUUUCUUCCAAAUCUGCUAUUCUUGGUGUGAAGAAUGCAACCACAAAGCUUGAGAAGUUGAAGUUUUCUGAUGGUCAACAUGUCAUCAUACCGCAGCAUAUCCAAGUCCAUGAUGCCGUAAAGAAUGUAUUAAGCUUUGGAAGCCUUGAUGCAAGUUUUGGGGCCGGGGAGAACUGUGUAGUAGACGGUGAAAGCAAUGGGAGCUUUAACGCUGUUACCGAUUCAGUUCACGAGGAACCUGUCAGUGAGCUUUCUUUAUGUGUGCAUAUCAGUUUCAGUGGCUUCAGUCUACUAUUCAAGGUAUUCAAUAAUCCGAGGGAGCGGCCUUUCACCUUUGAGGAGAUAGAUGAAGUUCAAGAAAUGUUGGCAAAUUUCAUUACCAGUGAUUGUCUUAAUUUGAUAUUUUCUUGUAAUGAAUCUUAAAUUAUGUAUUCUAGCUAGUUUUUCAUAUGAUUGUAAUGUAAUCGACUUUUAUAUUUACAAUUAUAUACUAUUUAAUUUAAUUAUCUAUAUAAUUGGAUACUUUU